GGGGGCGACUGGCUUCGACGGGGUCAGUGAAGCUGUGGCCGCGUGCCCAGGUCCUCGGGUCCUGGCUAAUCCCUCGAGACGAUUCACAACUGCCAACUCUGACUUGGCUCUGGCUGCGUAACUUGUAGUUAUGCACCUGCUUGCGGCGCAGCCCUCCUGAGGCGGCGCAGCGAGUAUCGCAAAAUCGGGAUAGCUGGCCGUCGCGUCUUCCGACGGUAGGCGAAAGUAGUGAAGACUCGUCCAGCAGUAGGCCGUCCACCGGCCAGCGGCUGGAGACCUCAAUCGGUGGACUAUGCACGUAGACGCUGUGGUGAAUCUGGUUUCGGACCGGGGUUCGAUUCCCCGCGCCUCCACUC
rnacentral:tmRNA from 1 species